rnacentral:rRNA from 1 species
GAUGAACGCUGGCGGCGUGCUUAACACAUGCAAGUCGAACGAUGAAGCCCAGCUUGCUGGGUGGAUUAGUGGCGAACGGGUGAGUAACACGUGAGUAACCUGCCCUUGACUCUGGGAUAAGCCUGGGAAACUGGGUCUAAUACUGGAUAUGACUUCUCAUCGCAUGGUGGGGGGUGGAAAGAUUUAUUGGUCUUGGAUGGACUCGCGGCCUAUCAGCUUGUUGGUGAGGUAAUGGCUCACCAAGGCGACGACGGGUAGCCGGCCUGAGAGGGUGACCGGCCACACGGGGAAUGAGACACGGCCCAGACCCCUACGGGGGGCAGGAGGGGGGAAUAUUGCACAAGGGGGGAAAGCCUGAGGCGGCGACGCCGGGGGGGGGAUGGGGGCCUUCGGGUUGUAAACCUCUUUCAGUAGGGAAGAAGGGGGAGUGACGGUACCUGCAGAAGAAGCCGCGGCUAACUACGU